rnacentral:sRNA from 1 species
UUGUAAAGAAACACUUCGCCAACUAUUUAACUCUGAAAGGAGAUCCACUGAAAAUAAACAGGUGGACACAUUUCCCUGAGGGUCAGUCCUGGAUGUUUGGUCAGGUCGAGGUCAAACCGAACAUAGACUACACACUGAGCUCUGAACGGUCAUUUAUAGGAUGCUACGUGUAUGGCCAUGGUCAGUACUACGCCUACAUGUACCCCGCAGGAUACAUAACCAGUCAGAUCAACACUAAAUGUUUCAAAGAUCUGGAUAGAAUGAAGGAGGGCGACCUUGUUGAUAAUGAUUGUGACGGUUCUAUUGAUGAAGAGUAUU